rnacentral:rRNA from 1 species
UACGAAGGGGGCUAGCGUUGUUCGGAAUUACUGGGCGUAAAGCGCACGUAGGCGGAUAUUUAAGUCAGGGGUGAAAUCCCAGAGCUCAACUCUGGAACUGCCUUUGAUACUGGGUAUCUUGAGUAUGGAAGAGGUAAGUGGAAUUGCGAGUGUAGAGGUGAAAUUCGUAGAUAUUCGCAGGAACACCAGUGGCGAAGGCGGCUUACUGGUCCAUAACUGACGCUGAGGUGCGGAAAGCGUGGGGAGCAAACAGGG